rnacentral:sRNA from 1 species
UAAUGAGUGCGCUCGCGACUUCUGCGGCUA